rnacentral:rRNA from 3 species
GCGAACCGGGGGAACUGAAACAUCUAAGUACCCCGAGGAAAAGAAAUCAACCGAGAUUCCCCCAGUAGCGGCGAGCGAACGGGGAGGAGCCCAGAGCCUGAAUCAGCAUGUGUGUUAGUGGAAGCGUCUGGAAAGGCGCGCGAUACAGGGUGACAGCCCCGUACACAAAAGCGCAUGUGCUGUGAGCUCGAUGAGUAGGGCGGGACACGUGGUAUCCUGUCUGAAUAUGGGGGGACCAUCCUCCAAGGCUAAAUACUCCUGACUGACCGAUAGUGAACCAGUACCGUGAGGGAAAGGCGAAAAGAACCCCGGCGAGGGGAGUGAAAAAGAACCUGAAACCGUGUACGUACAAGCAGUGGGAGC